GAAAUGCGAUAAGUAAUGUGAAUUGCAGAAUUCAGUGAAUCAUCGAAUCUUUGAACGCACAUUGCGCCCGCCAGAAUUCUGGCGGGCAUGCCUGUUCGAGCGUCAUUUCACCCCUCGAGCUCCCCUUUCGGGGGGAGCCCGGCGUUGGGGACCCGGCGCUAACAACGCCGGCCCCGAAAUGGAGUGGCGGCCCGUCCGCGGCGACCUCUGCGUAGUAACAACCACUCGCACCGGGACCCGGGCGCGGCCACACCGUAAAACACCCCACCUUCCGAAUGUUGACCUCGAAUCAGGUAGGAAUACCCGCUGAACUUAAGC
rnacentral:misc_RNA from 1 species